CAUCUGACUUUUUCGGAGGCACCUCCCGGGUCCUUGGAGGCAGUGCUGAGAUAAUGCCCAGGUGCAUGCAGGAGAGCAAGGAAGAGAAAGCGGGACUAUCCCUGUUAGGACCAAACAGGAGCAACGCACCCCAUUUUAAAGUUCCUGACAGCGACCGCCUUCUUCGCCCAGGGCCUCUGCUGCGCGCUGGCUCCCAUCUUGCAUCCAGCUGUCCGGAACUGACCAGGUUCCCGAGGUCAGGUGUACCCGGACGUUAGUGUCGUGAUCCUCAACCUGCG